rnacentral:misc_RNA from 1 species
GAGCAUACGUAACUGAUAUUCUUCAUGUUCCAUUAUCCAGAUGCCACAAUUAAGAACCAAAAAGGAAAAGCAAUCUUAAUUGACGAUAUAAUGGCCUAAACAUUCUACAGCUAUGAAUUGAUUUAGGCCUUUCAUAAAUCCAACCCACAAACUUGCCAGAGACUGGCAAACGAACAUUGAAAACAACCUUCACGUCUUUUAUUCGUCAUGUUCCACACCAUCUUCAUCUUCGUAGUAUUCUUCAUCUUCGGCCGUAGCAUCUUGGUAUUGCUGAUACUCAGAAACCAGAUCAUUCAUAUUGCUUUCAGCCUCAGUAAACUCCAUC